AAUACAAUAAUUUAGCAGUGCUAUUUUCUCCUUGACAUAUUUUCAUCAAGAGUGUUUUAAUUCAAAAUGUAUCAUCAUGAAGUUUUUCCUUUCGUCUUUAUUUAAUCAGAAAUCCCUACAUCAAUGAACAUUUUUGUCUGUAAUUUAGGAUAUCCAAAGCGCCUCUGCUCAAACAGACCGCAGAAAUUACACAUUUGACCUUUAAGCUGCUUAUGUUGAUGGCUGGUCAUAAAACUUAUUUGUUUGUUCGGGUGAUAAACCAGCUUAACAGCACCUAUAAAUGUCCAGUUAAACUGCUUUUUAACAUAUGAUUAUGAUCCAACUGGUGCAUAAAUCUCCAGCUGAAUGACAGUGUAACAGGUGAGUUUGGAAGCAUAACAUCUUCAGUGCUGUCUCAAGCAAUUUACCACCUCCUCUACUUGGCUCAGUUCACAUCCAGCUCUCUCUUUCUCUCUCUCUCCAUUUCUCUUGUCUCUUGCAUUCUCUUCUUUUCUUUCUUACCUCACACAUAGGAAAUUGGAUGGAAUCAUCUGUCAGAGGCUGAAAAUAGAGUAGCAAGGCGGUGAAAAGAAGUGUCUGAAGCUUUGGGGAAAACAGAGAGGGCUGCCUGAUAUGGAUGUUAUGGAACUCUGGCUAGGCUGGUGUGAUGUCGUGUUCAAUCACCUGGAGUUCUAGAAUUGAAUUUGGAAUGCUGAAGAGGUCACAUGCUCGACCAGUGUUCCAUCUCCCCCUUUGGCCUUCAGCUGGGCGGAUCUAAACUUCACAAUGUUCUCAUCAACUGGAGGUCACCUGUCCACAUAUGAUGGUGAGGAAGAUGAUGGCGUCAGAAUCCUAUAUUUGCUUUAUCAGCAGCUUGUGUUUGUUUAUCUGAGUCAAAGAUCAGAGAACGGCCAAUCACAGCCAAACAUCAACAAUGUCAGCCAAUUUCUGAUAAGAAGAACAUGGCAGAGGACACAGCAAAGAACUCACUGACACAAACACCCAAAAGCAGGCAUAGGUGUGUGUGUAUCAAAUCAAUGACAUGCAGAACAGGAGUUCCUGAAGAGAUUCACACUCAAAAAAAGAAAUAUCGCGACAUUUCUUUCAUAACCUUCAGAGAAUGAUCAGGAAUGAUGUCGAGGUCUGGCCGGAAAGAGAAAGAGAGGGAAAACCGGGUGGCCCCAGCAGAUGGGGGUUAGGGUUCUCCAGUUUUUUCCAUUUCAAACAGGUAAUGGGCUGUGAAAUGAAUACACCGUUAGCAUUUUUCUUCAAUGUGAGGACAGUUUCAUUCAACAUAUGGGCAUGGAAAUUAGUGUGCAUGUAUGUUGGUUGCUCUUGCGUCUGUCUGUGUGUGUACGUGAGCUGUAUUAUUAAUUAUCUGUCAUUUUAGCCUACUGCGAUUUAAACUAUAGGAGGCACUACCUGAAAAAUAAUAAUAUUCUAUCAAUAAUAGUAUUGCUAUGAAAAUACUCAAUAUUUUGGGUUACUCAAAAUAUGUAGAAAGUAAUUUGUUAAUGCUACUCCACAUUUCCUUUAAAUGUUUGAUAAAUGAAGGUGUGAGUAAUGUAACCACAUUGAAAAUGCUUAUUGCAUUCAUAAAGCAAACAUUUUGCUAAUUGUUUACAGUUUAACAAAAGUUACCCCCAUAAUUCAUGCACAGCGUCAUGGGGCAUACGAAAAAGGUGGAUAUUCACUUUUAAUCUUUCACACACUCACAGUACGGCCUGAAAAUGAUGUAUUGUUUUAAAGGUGAACAUUAAAUGUCAUGUUUGAUGUAAUCAUACUAGUAUGUGUAUGAGUAUGAAUGUGAGUUAGGACAAAAGGUUAUUGGUUCUUGUGAAUGUUAAGCUCAUACAGUAUGCAUCUCACAGCUCUCUUCCUCUUCCCCCUGCACUCUUGAGAUCAAUUCCCAUUUAAUUAGGGUCUGAAAGUUGUUAACGCUCACUGUGAAGUGCACACACAUGUGAAAUGGUUACUGAUGACUAACACUUUCUUUUUUCUUUACGGCCACGUCACUCCUGCAGCUGCUGGCAUUAUUGCAGACUGCGUGAUCUGCAGUGUGUGCGAGGUGUUUCAUAAUGCUACACUGCUCGGAUGACUUGACUCUAAUUAAGAGCACAAAUCAUGUCUCUAGAUGGGAAACGCUGUAUGGCUUUUGUAGAUCUUUGCUGGUGUUGCUUUAUACACAUGUGAGUGUUUCAGGAUAGAUGCUUGUCCUUCUGUAAUAACAUUGAAUAUUCCUUGUUGUGUGAAAUCACACUGUGGAGCUCCAAAAAAACAACAAAAUACCAGGAACCUUAGAAAGUAGUAGACCUAUAUAUUUUGGAUGACUUAUAUAAUAGCUUUGAAAAUCUUCCCUUGCACUGCAGCUCUUAAAUCCCAUUCUUCAUUCCACAUGUUAAACUGUCGUGCCAUUUUUGGUUACAACGAAAGCAAGAACCAAUAUUGUUUUGUUUUGAUUUCAAGUGUGGUGUGGCAUUAAGAUGCCAUUUUUGACUCUGAAUAAUCAUUUAGAUUACCAUUGAAAAACUUAAGACUUAAGGACGGUGCAAUUUUCUAAUAGCAAACGAGUUAAAAACAGUAUCUCCACUUAUGGUCUAAGAAGUUUCCUUGCUGAAGAUUACUAAGCAUUGAAUCCAGUAAAAUUGGCAGUAUAAGUAUUGAUCUUCUCUUUGACAGACUUCUGACACUGCUUUUAACCCUGGCUUCGAAUCUUUAGGGAUGAAUGCUGCAAACAUUCUUUUUUAAUGGUUCUUUUGGUCUUUCUGAGUGCUCUGUGUAUUUAAAUGCUUGCUUUCCGCAAAGUCAGAGAGAAAGAGAAAGAGAGAGAUGCAUUAAUGGAAUGUUUCUUGCUUUGAUGGAGAAAUCAGAGAAGGCUUUUUGUUUUUAUCCACUUGAUUCUGUUUUUAGGACAGCAGCAACAAAAUCAAAUGGAAAAUCUAAUGAAAUUGUAACAAUGAUAAUGGACAAAUUGUUUUAGUCAGCAAAGCUCUCAUUCAGUUUUUCAUUCAAUGCAGAGGAGUUUUCCCGAAACCAUUUAAUAAGUAUACUGUUCAAAUGUUAUAGAUAUUUAUUGAUAAGUU